rnacentral:rRNA from 1 species
UACGGGGGGGGCAAGCGUUUGUUCGGAAUUACUGGGCGUAAAGGGCUCGUAGGCGGCCAACUAAGUCGGACGUGAAAUCCCUCGGCUUAACCGGGGAACUGCGUCCGAUACUGGAUGGCUUGAGUUUGGGAGAGGGAUGCGGAAUUCCAGGUGUAGCGGUGAAAUGCGUAGAUAUCUGGAGGAACACCGGUGGCGAAGGCGGCAUCCUGGACCAACACUGACGCUGAGGAGCGAAAGCCAGGGGAGCAAAGCGGGAUUAAGAUGACC